UGUUCAGUGACACCAUUGCUGCCAAUGCGGUUGUUUUUUUUUUUUUUUGGUCGUCUAGAAUGGCUUGCCCCAGUACAUGAGGAUGUCCUGGAGGAGGGGGUCGCUGCCGCCGCCGCCGAGGCCGCCGAGGCCGCCGGAGCCGGCGGGGUCGAGGAUGGAGGCGGCGGGGUUGAUGGGCCCGACGGUGGCGAAGGUGCGCUCCCACUCGCUGAUCUUGGGCUGGCUCUGCACCUCGCACGCGAACUCCGGCGACAGCACCUGCUCCGAGCAGCUCGAGUCGGCGUGCAGCCGCGGCAUCGAGUCCGACGGCCGGUCGUAGUACGCCGCCAGGUCCGGGAACGCCGGCCCCGCCACCACCGGCUUCUGCUCCGGCGGGGAGCUCACCGCCGCGUUCACCCCCACCAUCGGCUUCCUCUGGACGCCGCCGCCGCUGCUCACCAUCCCCGCCGCCGCCACCGCCGCGGCCGGCGGCUUCUCCAGCCCGCCCUUCUUGUUGUAAAUCCGGCACAGCACCCAAUCAUCCAACUGCACCAAUACAAAACAAAUUCAUAAACAAAGUUUAGAAACAAAUUUACACUCACUCAAAAAAAAAUUAAAGUACCAAGUGCAAAACUAAGGGCCUGUUUGGUACAGCUCCAACUCCUAAAUUUAACUCCAGGAGUUGAGUCUGGAGUGGAGUUGUGGAGCUGCCUAAACCCAACUCCACAACUCUAGUUCAUUUUGUGAGAGAGCUCCACCCAGCUCCACUCCCCGUUUUGGUGGAGCCGAAACUGUUUGGCUGAGCUCCAGCUCCAGAAGGGGUGAAGCUGGAGCUGGAGCUGUGCCAAACAGGCCCUAAACUUAUCAGAAGGCUCCAAAUUCCAGCAUCUAAUUAAUCAAGCCAUUGUUUAACUAAUCCCGGUCGAGUCGCUGUCCGAUUACUGCUUAUUUGCUUUCGGGAUUUAGCUAUCGUGGGCGUCGCGAUCGCAGGGGCGCGUAGGGCUAAAAACCGAUUGGUCCCUGAAAGGGAUGAGGCGAGGUGGUGACGGCAAUGGGUUUCACGCUCGAACGAUUCGAUCGUGGCUGCGCAAGUUGCACCACGUAGGUGCGGCCCUAGAGAUGAGAUGAGCCAACGUCUCCAAUUAAUUUCUGCGGCCCAAAGCCGUGGGCCACGCUAAGCUUAUCCUCCCAAUUCAUUUCGAAAGCGAAAUGAGCUGAUUAAACAAGUUGCAAAAUAAAUAUAUCAAAUAUCUAAAUAGUAGUAUCCAUCUAGAAGUACCACCAGCUGUUCGAAUCGAGCUGCGGUUUUGGGCGAAUAAUUAGGUGACUAAAUUAAUCAAUAAUCACGAUGAACACAGAUUUAGUAAUGAAUUUAGUGAUGGAAUCUUGGGUGUGGUUUUUGCUUACCCUGAGGCUGUUCUUCUUGCGGGCGGAGCGGUCGACGUCGGCGAGGCGGUACUCGUGCAUGAUCCAGUUGGUCUUCUCGCCCUUGGGCGCCUUGCCGGCGUAGAAGACGAGGGCCUUCUUGAUCGCCACCGGCUUCGGCGAGCCCACCGGCUUGUCGGCGCCGGUCGCCUUCCAGUACCCCGACCCGGCGGCGCGGUUCGGCCGCGACCCGUUCGGGUACUUGCGGUCUCGCGGGGAGAAGAAGUACCACUCCUUCUCUCCGUACAGCGCCAUCCCUACACAACACCAACAAAUCAAACCAAAUCAAUCAAUCAAUUCACGACGGCGUUGAUGGUGGUGAUGAUUGGGAGGAUGGAGGAGGAGGAUUAUCGUACGGGGAAGCUGCCAUGGAUCGAACUUGUAGAGGUCGAUCUCGGCGAUGAUGGGGACG
rnacentral:lncRNA from 1 species